rnacentral:lncRNA from 1 species
CCUUUAACAGAGUGACUGGCACUGUCCUGAAGCUCUCAGUUUCUUCACCUCUGGGUGAGCCAUUAGGCCCCUUCUGGCUCAAAUGCUUUUGGGAUCUACCGUGGUGCCAGGAUUGCUCUGGACUGCCUGCUUUCACAGCCAGCUACCCUUUUCUUGGCCUCUGGAUUGUCUCAAGGCUUGCCUUGUCUUUUCAUGUUGCUGGGACAACUCAGGCACCAACUUGAGGGAAGCCUCCCUUCAGGUGAAUAAACACAUUGACGGUAUGUAUGUAUCUUGGACCAGGGGCUGUGGCCUGUGUAACCAAAGAAGAAUUUCCACUGAGUUACAAGAUUAGCCACUGGCAUUUAGACACUGGAGGCUGGAACACGCAAGGGCAUAUGUUUUGGGGGCUUUUUCUGUCUUCCCUCAGUACUUGCUGAAUUGGACCCCUCACCUACAACGCCCUCUCCCCUCUUGACUCUGUAUCUCAGACCUACUGAGAGACAGUAUGGAGCAGAAGACAAAGUGAGUGCUUCAUAGUCACACACACCAGGGUUCCAUCCUGUUCCUGCUACCCCCUUGAAAUGUGACCUUGGGCAUGAAUUUAAAUAGUUUAGUCAGUAUGGCAUGAUGGUUAAGAGCAUGGAAAAUGGAUCCUGAGUGUCUGGCUUCAAAUCCUAACUUUACUACUUACUAAUUCUGUGAACUUGAACAUGUUAUGACCUUGCUCUACCUCAGUUUCCUCAUACUUAGGAUAGGCAACUCUCAUUGUUUGCUACAAGGAUUACAUAAGAAAGAGAGAGGUAGACAGAUGAAUAGAAGAUAGAUAGAUAGAUAGGUAAUAAAUGGAUAGAUGAUAGGUAGAUAGAUAAUAAAUGGAUAGAUAAAUGAUAGGUAGAUAGAUAAUCAUUUAGAACAAUGUUUCAUGAUUAGUUAAUACUAAGAAAGAGUUUGCUAUAUUAUAAUCUGUUGUUAAAUUAUUUACCUGUAAAUUGAGUGAUGAUAAUCCUACUUCUUAGAGUUGUUUUGCGGUAAGGUGGUUGCUUUUCGUUAUUCAUAUCCUCAGCUAAGCUCAGCUUCUAUUUUCAUUGUUUUCUUUUUUCUUUUAACUGUAGGUUUAUUUUCUUUUCCAAAAAUCUCUGUCUCAGGACAUAAAUACAAAUCAGAAAAAAGUACAUUUAAGACCUCAGAAUAUGGAGGACAAUAUGUAAGAGUGAUAUCAUUUUUAGUUGGUUGAAAACAAAGCUGUAAGAAUUGCUUUCACUAAGAAGUACUUACUCUUUUCAAGGUUAAUAAAUAAAUCAACUAAAAUUUAAAGUCAUAUAUACAGUACAGCCCUCUCAGACAUUCUAGUAAAUACAUAGGUGUGAACAACAACAUAGGCAAUACUUUUAUUCAGUACUUUUUUUUGUACAAUGUUUGUUGAUGAGAAAUUUGUUAGACAAGUCUGGUUUCAUUUGUUGCUAAAUCAUGACCUCUUAGCUAACUAUGGUUGUCUUCUGAUCCUCCUAGCAUACAUACAUUGCCUUCCUCUUUCCAUCUUUGUAUCCCCACCAAGUGAUGCCUAAUAAAAAUUAAAUAAAUGUUGAUUACAAGAAUGAUUAGAAUAGCAGUCGAGUGUUUUCUUUCAAUUUAUAUACACUUACCUUACCAAAGUUAUUCUUGGAUUCUCCCAGGGUAACUCUAUCUCAGCUUUUUCUAUUACUUGUGUUUUUGAGGGAUGGUGAUGAACGCUACAAGGGAAGAACUAUUUGCUCUUAAUUAAUAAUCAAGACUGCUAACUGUCCCCAAAAUUCCAUUCUUCCCUGCCGGAUGUUUACGCUGCCUCUUUAUGGGAAACUAAGGUUUUAAUUUUUAUUUGCAAAAAUACAGCAAGAUGAGAUCUCCCGGUUUCCCUUAUAUGAGUUGUGACCACAUAACUCAGUUCUCUGGGAGUCAGUGUGAAGCAUGAAUAAUGAUCCCAUCUCCAGGUUCAGCCCUCCUCACUCUCCCCAAAUGCGCCUCCAUGCUCAUUCUCUCUUCUAGUCCACUGAGAUGUCAACACCUUGGGUAAUCUUGGAAGCCACAGAGUAAAUAUAUCAAGCUACCACCAGCAUGGGGAGGAGUGACCCUGACAACACCCACCUAGAAGUAUUACAUGUGCAAGAAGUACAUUUUAAAUGUAUUAAUCCACUUAAGUUUUUUUUUUCUCUUUCUUGCCAUAGCUUAGCCUAAUGCAGUGUAGGACACAUAAACAAAUAGAAUCUUUUGUCUAGGAAAAUACAGCUACUAAUUUAUCUGAGCUCCCAAAGUGAGAGGUAGAGGAAACUAAAAUUCCUUUUGUGCUAAAUACCAGACACAAUACUUGGCAAGUACUGGGUGCAUUGCAGAAUUCCUCCCCUAGGAUUUGUCUUGGAAGCCCACGACGUUAGGUAUUAUGAUCCCUGUUUAACAGAUGAGGGAUAUGAAACAGAGAAAGGAGAUGUCAUUUGCUUAGCAAGUAACUGAGAGAACUGAGAAUCAAAGGCAAACCAGAUAAAGUCCAAAGUUCUUUUUCCUGCUGCUGCUGCACAUGAGAGAUGUCCAGUCAACUGCUCUAUUCCCAAGAUGUUUACUGUGGACAAAGAAAGCAUCCUAUAAGUUGAUAUAUAAGUCAGUCUUGUUUUUAGACACUUUGAAUGAACAGUUUUUGUUUGUGCUUUUUAACCACAUACACUUGAACUGUUUCAUGAGAAGUCUGCACUUCUUCAGACUGGGGAAUUGCCCAUCUCGCAUGCUAAGUAUUAACAUGGGAGAGUCUAUAGACAGCAUGAUGUGUGGCCUGGUGCCAGGUCAGGGCAGCUGACCAUAGCUUUCCUGGCCCUUUUUAGGGUUCAUGGCCUUUUUGGCCUCUGUCAUACCCAUACUCAAAGUGGGUGCCUUGUCUACAUUCCUUAGCCUUUCUAUGUAAACAGAACACCCUAACCCAUUUAUGCAACUUUCAAGAGAGCUUUGUAAACAUAGAGAUGGCUUUAAGCCUCCUUUCUCUCACUUGCUUUAAUAAAGUGCUGGGGUAUAGAAACCAGCCUUCUUCCAUCUCGAUCAUCCUGAGAACAUCUCCGGGCUUUAGUUUCCCCUUCUCCAAAAGAAGGGGCCUAGAGCUGGGACUUUUUAAUUUGCUACCACCAAAGAUACCAUUUUUUGUAAAACUUUAAUCUCAAGGAGUCCUAAGUUUUAUGAAACCAGAGAACCAUGUCUUAUCUUCAGUGUUUAGUACCAUACCUGGCACAAAACUGUUUUUUUGCUAAAUAUUUGCUGAAGACACUACAAUCUACAAAACUCCAUAAACUUGGUAGUCAUUAGGGGUCUUCACUAAAUAUUUCAAAUGCUCUCGCCUUCUGAUAACUGGAUGGGAUCACACUGCCAGGCCCCCUAGGGCUAUGCUGGGUCACUGGACUUAAUCUGGCCAGUGAUCUGCAAGAGAAGUAUUUAAUCACCAGUGCGCAGUCCUCAAGAGUUCUCAUUUUCCUCUGCAGGGAGAAGGCAAUGUUCUAGAUAGAAACUGCUUUAUUGGCCUGGGUUUCUUGGAGCGAAGAAACAUUGAGGAGCAGAUCCCCCAGCUGAUUCAGCAGACGUGCAGCAGAAGCCGACGGAAACCUCUGCUGUUUUAAGGCACUGAGAUUUUGGAGUUGUUUGCUAUCAUAGUGUAAUCUAUCAUCUCCUAACUGAUUCAAUGUGUUUAUCACAAUUAAUUGGUUUUUCUCAGUUUUAAUAACCAUAGAAAUACACAGCUGUCAUUCAGAGCCUCUAACAAGAAAGUGGUGUGACUCAUUAAACUGGUAGCACUCCUGCCAAAACCAAAGCAAUGUGAUCAUUCCAGUAGCAAUUGUUGCAAUAGAACCGUUUUAUUAUUUGUAAGAUAAAUGUAAUUUCUGCUAGGCUUUUUCAGCCUCUGGAUAUAUCUUAGAUGCUCAUGACUACUUCAGCUCCUGUUUUUACUGAGUGUGCUUAGUUCAACUGUCACUGGCUUAUGUAUCCCGGGGCCCUUCCAGUUGGGCAUGCUGGAAAAAAAAACAUCCUCUUUGGAAGCAGUAGUACGUUCUUGAACCUCUCUGAACCUCAGUUUCCUUACUUAUAAAACAAGAAUUACAAAUACUACCUCACUUCCUCACUCAAUAGGAACUGCUCUCCCCAAAGAUGAAAAGAAGGGAUGUAAUAACCUUUCCAUCACAGGUGGUGAACCUAGAGGAGAGGAUCUGAAUCCCUGAUCAGUCGGUCCAGGUUUGGCUUCCUUUCUGUGCAGCUCAGAUGAGUGACUUUGGGUGAGUUGCCUAACCUGAUUCAUCCUUUGCUUCCUUCACUCUGAAAUAAGGAUCAUAGCAUCUGUGACCCCAACUGAGGUAACCUGAGUGAAAGCAAAAUCACUUUGGAACUGAGAAACUGCUCUCUGGAACCUCCGCACCUUGGCACGUGGCAAUCCAUUUGCCUGAGAUGCCCUUCCUUGCCUCUGUUGUCUCUUUCUUGGCAAAUCCUUUCUGAUACCUCAGGGUUCUGCCUAUGUGUCAUCUCCUUGAGUGACAUAGUGCACUCCAGGUCUCUGUUUUGUCUGUACACACAUAAAAAGUCCCCUGGGUUAUACAUUUUGUGUUCACAGCCUAAGCCCUGAACUGCACCCGGAUGUUUCUCCUCAAGGUCAUGACGGUGUUAUGUAUUUAUUUCUUUGUAUAAUAAUGAUCCCCAGUUAAACUUUUAUCUUUCUGACCAUGAAAUUAUCUUUUGUCUCCCUCAAGUUCCCCCUCAAAUCACAAGGUGUACCCCAAAUUCUCAUCCUUGAGAAUAUCCUCUAUGUGAGGCACUCAUGCCUGCUCAUCCUAACCCAAUAUACUUCCCCUAGAUUUGGGAAGAAGAAAACUGUUUUAGGUGCCAAGAUGGACUGCAGAGGCCAGAAAAUAUGUAUUAAAAGAGGAGACAAUAUUUUUAUCAGGGAUUUUUAAAAGGAGCCAGAUAGGUGACAUUAAAACUUUCCUUUGGCAGCUCAUUCCCAAUGAAGAAGUAAUCAGACUCCACCUGAUUUAUCAGCUUUCACAACCAACUCUAUUUUCUUUCUCUCAUCCCUGUCUUUCCUUCAAGUGCAAUCUAGGGUGCAGCUACUUUAAUCUUACUGUUCUUCAAACAUGACUUCUUCCUUGUUUCUUUGUCUUGUCUCAAGGUACUUCUUCUGCCAGCAUAUCCUGUCCUAUCCCUCAAUGUUACCCGGAAAAUUGCUCAAAAAUCAUCUUUUCUGUGAAGCAUCCCAAAUCAUCCCCAAGGCAGUAGGUCACUCACUUCUUUGAACAUUCCUCAAUAACAGCACAGAUCAAGGGCCUGUGCUACCUUCUGAUCUGCAGCUGCAAAUAUUGCCUGAUGCAAAAUGAAUACUCUGUAAUAUUUCUGAAAAGGUGAAAGUGAAAUAAUGUGGGACGGAGCUUAUAGUCAUUGUUUAUGUACACAUUCCAGGCAUAGGGUUAGAAGCUUUGAACAUACUGUAUCUUAAUUUUUACAACAACAAUUUUUAGUAAAUUUUCUUAUUUUCAAAGGACACUGGGGAUCAGAGAGUGAAGAACUUGCCUAUGGUCACACACCUGGCCCCCAUACUCCCUGAGACACAACAACAUUGAUAUUAGACCAGUUAAUAACUCUACAAUGGCCUGUAAGUGUUCAAGUGAAAGGAAGAGUCGCAUAUCUCUCACUGUAAAUCAAAAACUAGAAAUGAUUAGGCUCAAUGAGGAAGCCACGUUGAAAGCUGAGAAAGGCUGAAAGUAGGCUUCUUGUGCCAAAUAGUUAGUCAAGUUGUGAAUGCAAAGAAAACAGGCUUGAAGGAAAUUUAAAGUGCUACUUCAGUGAACACAUGAAUAAUAAGAAAGUGAAUCAGCAUUAUUGCUAAUAGAAAGGAAGUUUCAGUGGUCUGGAUAGAAGAUCAAAUCAGCCAUAACAUUCCCUUAAGCCAAACCCUAAUCCAGAGCAAGGCUCUAACUUUCUUAAAUUCUGUGAAGGCUGAUAGAGAUGAGGAAGCUGCAGAAGGAAAGCUUGAAGCUAGCAGAGAUUGGUCCAUGGGGUUUAAGGAAAGAAACCGUUUCCAUAACGUAAAAGUGGAAGGUGAAGCAGCAAGUACUUAUGUAGAAGCUGCAGCAAGUUAUUCAGAAGAUUUAGCUAGGAACAUUGAUGAAGAUGGCUACAUUAAAUAACAGAUCUUCAAGGUAGAUGAAAUAGCCUUCUAUUGGAAGAAGAU